UACGGAAGGCAGCAGUGGGGAAUAUUGCACAAUGGGCGCAAGCCUGAUGCAGCCAUGCCGCGUGUAUGAAAAAGGCCUUCGGGUUGUAAAGUACUUUCAGUCGUGAGGAAGGUGUUAAGGUUAAUAACCUUAGCAAUUGACGUUAGCGACAGAAGAAGCACCGGCUAACUCCGUGCCAGCAGCCGCGGUAAUACGGAGGGUGCGAGCGUUAAUCGGAAUUACUGGGCGUAAAGGGCACGCAGGCGGUUAAUUAAGUUGGAUGUGAAAUCCCCGGGCUUAACCUGGGAAUGGCAUUCAAGACUGGUUAGCUAGAGUCUUGUAGAGGGGGUAGAAUUCCAUGUGUAGCGGUGAAAUGCGUAGAGAUGUGGAGGAAUACCGGUGGCGAAAGGCGGCCCCUGGGACAAAGACUGACGCUCAUGUGCGAAAAGCGUGGGGAGCAAAACAGGGAUUAGAUACC
rnacentral:rRNA from 1 species